rnacentral:rRNA from 1 species
ACGAACGCUGGCGGCGUGCUUAACACAUGCAAGUCGAACGGAAAGGCCUCUUUCGGGGGGUACUCGAGUGGCGAACGGGUGAGUAACACGUGAGUAACCUGCCCUUGACUUUGGGAUAACUUCAGGAAACUGGGGCUAAUACCGGAUAGGAGCUCCUGCUGCGUGGUGGGGGUUGGAAAGUUUCGGCGGUUGGGGAUGGACUCGCGGCUUAUCAGCUUGUUGGUGGGGUAGUGGCUUACCAAGGCUUUGACGGGUAGCCGGCCUGAGAGGGUGACCGGUCACAUUGGGACUGAGAUACGGCCCAGACUCCUACGGGAGGCAGCAGUGGGGAAUAUUGCACAAUGGGUGGAAGCCUGAUGCAGCAACGCCGUGUGCGGGAUGACGGCCUUCGGGUUGUAAACCGCUUUCGCUCAUGACGAAGCUUUGUGUGACGGUAGUGGGUAAAGAAGCACCGGCUAACUACGUG